CCUACGGGUGGCAGCAGUGAGGAAUAUUGGUCAAUGGGCGAGAGCCUGAACCAGCCAAGUCGCGUGAGGGAGUACUGCCCUAUGGGUUGUAAACCUCUUUUGUCGGGGAGCAAAAGCCGGACGUUUCCGGCUGUGAGAGUACCCGAAGAAAAAGCAUCGGCUAACUCCGUGCCAGCAGCCGCGGGCAUACGGAGGAUGCGAGCGUUAUCCGGAUUUGUUGGGGGUAAAGGGGGCGCAGGCGGAUUUUUAAGUCAGCCGUCAAAACGUGGGGCUCCACCCCAUCCAGCCGUUGAAACUGGGGAUCUGCAGUGUGCGAGAGGUAUGCGGAAUGCGUGGUGUAGCGGUGAAAUGCAUAGAUAUCACGCAGAACCCCGAUUGCGAAGGCAGCAUACCGGUGCACAACUGACGCUCAGGCACGCAAGCGUGGGUAUCGAACAGGAUUAGAUACCCUGGUAGUC
rnacentral:rRNA from 1 species